UACGAGGGGGGCAAGCGUUGUUCGGAAUUAUUGGGCGUAAAGGGCGCGUAGGCGGUCUGAUAAGUCUUGUGUGAAAUCUCUGGGCUCAACCCAGAGUCUGCAUAGGAAACUGUCGGGCUUGAGUAUGGGAGAGGUGCGUGGAAUUUCCGGUGUAGCGGUGAAAUGCGCAGAUAUCAGGAGGAACACCGGUGGCGAAGGCGGGUCUCUGGGCCGAUACUGACGCUGAGGAGCGAAAGCAUGGGUAGCGAACAGG
rnacentral:rRNA from 1 species